UACGUAGGGGGCUAGCGUUGUCCGGAAUCAUUGGGCGUAAAGCGCGUGUAGGCGGUCCGGUAAGUCCGCUGUGAAAGUCGAGGGCUCAACCCUCGAAUGCCGGUGGAUACUGUCGGGCUUGAGUACGGGAGAGGCGAGUGGAAUUCCUGGUGUAGCGGUGAAAUGCGCAGAUAUCAGGAGGAACACCAAUUGCGAAGGCAGCUCGCUACACGAAUAUUGACUCUGAGGCACGAAAGCGUGGGGAUCAAACAGG
rnacentral:rRNA from 1 species